ACUCCUAAUUUAUCCCUUCCUUCCUCUUUUCCCCUUUUUUAGCCACACACUUGUUUUCUAUGUCUGUGUUUUGUAAAUAGGUUCAUUGGUAUCUUUUUUUUUUUUUAGAUUCUGCAUAGAGGUAAUAUGCGACAUUUGUCUGUGUGGCUUCACUUAGUAUAUAAUCUCUAGGUCCAUCCAUUGCUGCUAAUGGCACUAUUUCGUUCUUUUUUAUGGCUGAGUAAUAUUCCAUUGUAUGUAUAUCCCCUUAUCUUCUUUAUCCACUCAUCUAUCAAUGGCCACUUCAGUUGCUUCCAUGUCCCGUCUCUUGGAAAUAGUGCUGCUGUGAGUGUGAACUUUGUUUCUUCAUUCACCAGGGGAUGAAUUGGCUUGAUUUGGCAACUUAGAGUCAAGGCGCUGCAAACAUGUGCAUUUAGGUCUUCGUGGGAAUAAAUGUUUCACUUCUCCUGUGUAAAUACCUAGGAAGAGGCGUUCUGGUGUAUUUGAUGAGCGUAUGUUUAGUUUUCAGAGAAACUGAUACACUGUCUUCCAAAGUGACCAUAACAUUUGCGUUCGCAUCCUGCAGUGUUUGAGAAUUUCAGGAGCACCUCAUUCUUGCCAGUGCUAGGUACUGUCGCUUUACAAAAAUUUUAACCAUUUUUGCUAUCUCUCUAAAAGUUAGUUUUGUUAAUAACGUUUUCCGAUGUAGAGCACUUAACCUUCAAAAGCGAACUGUCUUUCUCUGAGGAGUGAACAGUUUGCAUUAAGAUCAUGAACAAAAGUAAUUGAGUCUUUUCUCAUUAUUGACGUGCCUGUGGUCUGCAAAGCUACCACGGAAUUCACCGAAUAAUGAAUACGGAACCAUUGCCCCAGGGGAAAUACCAGUUUUCUCAGCUGAUCAAUAUGUAGGCUCAUCUUCAGUGUGUUUGUUUGAAGACAUGUCAUUUAUUUUGUCGAUUCGCCUGAACAAAGCUAGUCUAACACAUGCGUUUUCUCCAUAAGGCGCAUCACAGCCCAGCCUCAGGGGGUGGGGAGGACAUUCCAAAGGGGCACAAUCGCCAACAAAAAAGCACGAAAAUGUGGAAAGCGAGUCACUAGAUGGACCAGGAUGCAGAUGCUUGUUUACGGGGUGAGAGCUGAAACAAGAAGGCGGAAGACCGUCUCCUUGCACCUCAGCUGGGACACGCACGUCGGAUGCCUCAAAUGGUUCACUCUGUGCCUGUCCAGGACUGACCGGAGAUGUGCCCCGAGUGUUGUUUUUGGGGGGUUAUGAGUAAAUUUUAGCACGUGGGCAGAUUCCACUAUAUUUUUAUUCCCUUUGAAAGGGCUUAAACUGAGUUCCCUUUAAAUGGUGAUUCGUAGGAACUUGAUGCAGAGCGAAACAUAAUUAUUUAAUAAUUUAAUCAGUGCAUCACUUAGAAAAUUAACCGGCCCAACCAGGACCCCUCCGCACUGAAGGCUGUUUUACAGACACCUCAAGACCUGCCACAGAUUUCACCCCCAUCGCGGAGGGCGUCCUCUUGAUUUAUGUCAGAAGGCUUGAUGGACCAUUCAGACAUACCGAGCACACACUUCAUUCCUGGAAAGUAAUAUAAAAUGUUCACUCUGAAUUUGAUCACAGUAAUAGCGACAGGGUAUGUGUUUAAAUUCACGGAGACAGAUUAAUGCACUUACCAAAAACCCCCAUUGCCGAAAAGUAAUUAUAAGUUUUCUAGAUUGACUGCCAAUAUGAUAGGGCCCCCAAGAAAUGGCCCGUCUUGACGAGACAGAACAAUAAAUUGGUUUUCCUGAAUACGGUGGGUAAAGAAUCCAAGUUCCUGACCCUGAAUAUUUCACUGGUCGUGUUCUAUGCAGUAGGGAACAAUCAGGAUGACAUUUGCUGAAAUGUCUGAGAUUUAUAACAUAAUAGCUUGAGCAUAUGUGCCAGAAAAUAAGAAUCUUAAAGCCGAUCAAAUCAAGAUUAAUCACCUAUUAAAACGCUAACAAAUAGUAUAGUACAGGUGGUGUAACACGCUGUCUCCCUUCAUAUAUUGUUACAAAACAAACUCUUUGGCGGCAACAUGAAAUAUCCUGCAUCUUCCAUCUCGCUCUCGGUGGGAAAAAGGGGAAAAAAAAUGGCUACUCGGUCCUUCGCAGUGUGGAUUUUGGCAUUUCAUUAGGAAGUGCUAUCACAAACCUUUUCGCUGAAAAGCAUAUGCAACUCUCUGGAAACUGCUAAAUUUCCUGGCUUUGUACUCCUGCCAAAAAGCUGUUGCUUCUCCCUGCCAUUAACAACUGCACUUUGAUUCCUUUCUAUCUUUGCAGAGAGUAAAACCCACGCAGCACUCCCCUGAAAAGGAAAACAGUAGUUUGCUUCCUCCCCCUCCCUAGCUUUGCAGGAAUUAAUCCCAAGGGCUCAAUGUCAUCUUUAUAAUCAGCUUUAAUUUUUAUAGUUUCAGUGGUGGACCAAGUGGUACCAGAAAUGCUACAGUCCUGAUGGGGUUGCUUCCUUGAAGUGGUUUCUCAUAUUUGAGGGGGACUCAAUGAUGACAUGUUGUCAGUGAUCCUUUGAUGAGCGAGUAGAAGUGCUGGCCACGUUGGUGCCCAGUGAAUAGUCAGUUGGCAAGUGAGGAUCUAGGACACGCCAGGUGUUCUAGGCUUCAGGGACCCUGGAGAACAAGGCAGUUCCUACCCAUGUAAUGAUAGCAUUUUCCUUUGCUCAUAUCUUUGGUUAUAAAUGUUCUUUAUUGGAAUCAAACUCACACAGACUAAACCACAUCAGCAGGCUGAUGUCUUUCUCUAGUUUGUCACUUGAGUACCAAGUUCUUUAAGUACCUGUGCCCUGCCUGCGUGGUAUUUCAAAGCUCUUUGUUUGGGGCCUUGGGCUCCCUUCUGCAUCCUAAAGCCAUCCCAGCAACGGGCCGUUCUUUUUCUGAGACCCUGGACCAUCUCGCUACGAAGGGUGUAACAAGCUUCGUUUGUUUUUGCAAAAUCAACUCUUCAGCCGUGACAUGAAAUAUCCUGUCUCCUCUUUCUCACUCACUGUGGGAAA